rnacentral:rRNA from 1 species
GACGAACGCUGGCGGCGUGCUUAACACAUGCAAGUCGAACGGAAAGGCCCUGCUUUUGUGGGGUGCUCGAGUGGCGAACGGGUGAGUAACACGUGAGUAACCUGCCCUUGACUUUGGGAUAACUUCAGGAAACUGGGGCUAAUACCGGAUAGGAGCUCCUGCUGCAUGGUGGGGGUUGGAAAGUUUCGGCGGUUGGGGAUGGACUCGCGGCUUAUCAGCUUGUUGGUGGGGUAGUGGCUUACCAAGGCUUUGACGGGUAGCCGGCCUGAGAGGGUGACCGGCCACAUUGGGACUGAGAUACGGCCCAGACUCCUACGGGAGGCAGCAGUGGGGAAUAUUGCACAAUGGGCGGAAGCCUGAUGCAGCAACGCCGCGUGCUGGAUGACGGCCUUCGGGUUGUAAACCGCUUUCGCCUGUGACGAAGCGUGAGUGACGGUAAUGGGUAAAGAAGCACCGGCUAACUACGUG